rnacentral:rRNA from 1 species
UACGGAGGGAGCUAGCGUUGUUCGGAAUUACUGGGCGUAAAGCGCGCGUAGGCGGCUUUGUAAGUUAGAGGUGAAGGCCCGGGGCUCAACCCCGGAACUGCCUUUAAGACUGCAUCGCUUGAAUCCAGGAGAGGUGAGUGGAAUUCCGAGUGUAGAGGUGAAAUUCGUAGAUAUUCGGAAGAACACCAGUGGCGAAGGCGGCUCACUGGACUGGUAUUGACGCUGAUGUGCGAAAGCGUGGGGAGCAAACAGG